rnacentral:rRNA from 1 species
GAUGAACGCUGGCGGCGUGCCUAAUACAUGCAAGUCGAGCGAACGGACGAGAAGCUUGCUUCCCUGAUGUUAGCGGCGGACGGGUGAGUAACACGUGGAUAACCUACCUAUAAGACUGGGAUAACUUCGGGAAACCGGAGCUAAUACCGGAUAAUAUUUUGAACCGCAUGGUUCAAAAGUAAAAGACGGUCUUGCUGUCACUUAUAGAUGGAUCCGCGCUGCAUUAGCUAGUUGGUAAGGUAACGGCUUACCAAGGCAACGAUGCAUAGCCGACCUGAGAGGGUGAUCGGCCACACUGGAACUGAGACACGGUCCAGACUCCUACGGGAGGCAGCAGUAGGGAAUCUUCCGCAAUGGGCGAAAGCCUGACGGAGCAACGCCGCGUGAGUGAUGAAGGUCUUCGGAUCGUAAAACUCUGUUAUUAGGGAAGAACAUAUGUGUAAGUAACUGUGCACAUCUUGACGGUACCUAAUCAGAAAGCCACGGCUAACUACGUG